UUAUUAAAUUAAGUACUGUAGUUAGAAUUCAAAUAUUAUUUUGUAGUUCAGUUUGGAAAUUAUUUUAUUUGACCAAAAGUAAGGAAGUGCUUAGUGAUUUCUUCUAUGAUCAUCACCUGCUGAUGAUUUAAUAAUUCUGAACGACUAUGUUCCUGUUGCCGAUAAAACUAUGUUAAUCCUGCUACCCUGUCGGUGAGU